rnacentral:rRNA from 1 species
GACGAACGCUGGCGGCGUGCCUAAUACAUGCAAGAAGAACGCACAGUUUAUACCGUAGCUUGCUACACCAUAGACUGUGAGUUGCGAACGGGUGAGUAACGCGUAGGUAACCUGCCUGGUAGCGGGGGAUAACUAUUGGAAACGAUAGCUAAUACCGCAUAAUAUUGAUUAUUGCAUGAUAAUUGAUUGAAAGAUGCUAUUGCAUCACUACCAGAUGGACCUGCGUUGUAUUAGCUAGUAGGUGAGGUAACGGCUCACCUAGGCGACGAUACAUAGCCGACCUGAGAGGGUGAUCGGCCAAACUGGGACUGAGACACGGCCCAGACUCCUACGGGAGGCAGCAGUAGGGAAUCUUCGGCAAUGGACGAAAGUCUGACCGAGCAACGCCGCGUGAGUGAAGAAGGUUUUCGGAUCGUAAAGCUCUGUUGUAAGAGAAGAACGGGUGUGAGAGUGGAAAGUUCACACUGUGACGGUAUCUUACCAGAAAGGGACGGCUAACUACGUG